GUUUGUGGCUCAGUGGUAGAGCACUUGCCUAGUACAUGGUGAGGAUCUGGGUUCGAUCCUCAGCAACACA
rnacentral:tRNA from 1 species